rnacentral:rRNA from 1 species
CCUACGGGAGGCUGCAGUGGGGAAUAUUGGACAAUGGGCGAAAGCCUGAUCCAGCCAUGCCGCGUGUGUGAAGAAGGCCUUCGGGUUGUAAAGCACUUUCAGUGGGGAAGAAAGCCUUGGGGCUAAUACCCUCGAGGAAGGACAUCACCCACAGAAGAAGCACCGGCUAACUCCGUGCCAGCAGCCGCGGUAAUACGGAGGGUGCGAUCGUUAAUCGGAAUUACUGGGCGUAAAGCGCGCGUAGGCGGUCUGAUAAGCCGGUUGUGAAAGCCCCGGGCUCAACCUGGGAACGGCAUCCGGAACUGUCAGGCUAGAGUGCAGGAGAGGAAGGUAGAAUUCCCGGUGUAGCGGUGAAAUGCGUAGAGAUCGGGAGGAAUACCAGUGGCGAAGGCGGCCUUCUGGACUGACACUGACGCUGAGGUGCGAAAGCGUGGGUAGCAAACAGGAUUAGAUACCCGAGUAGUC